AGGAAUGCCUCUCAGCUGAAGGCUGUAAGAUUUAGCUAAUAGUGCCCCAAAUCCUAGCAGAGUGUUCUUUACUCUGAGGCUGUGUCCCCUCAGCUCUUGCUGUGCUGUGGGCAGGAUGAGAUUUAAGUGAAUGAAACCCACCAGUGAGCAAGUGGCAGUGGUGAACUUGCAAACCAAGUUGCCCAGGAGCUAGUGGCUCUGGAGCUCAGCAGUGAGGGGAGCAGCUCAGGUCUGUCGGCUGCCAGAAAACCGUUGUCAAAAGCCAUACCGGCAACCAAACCUACAGAUGAACCUACAGCUCCUGCCCUGUUCUGUUUGAAGGCUUCACUUCUUUUGAUCUCUCUGGGGCAACAGCCUGGCUACAGUCCACGUGUGUUUUUCUACAGCAUCAGAAACCGGGAGCGUCUGUGUCUGAAGGCGUCUGUGUGUCCCCCCCCGGCAGUGCUUGCUGUUGGCUUGAAAUGAAACUGCUCUGAGCUCAGGCAAAUGGCAGGAUGCACAGACAGAAGCGUGGUGAGAGGCUGCUGGUAAAUGUUAAGGGCAUGGGUGAAUGCCAUGGGUUUUUGCACUCACUCACUUGUUUGGGUUUGUUUUUUUUUGUUUUGAUGGACGUGCGGCAUUGCAUUGAGAAGGGCUGAUCUCAGCCUCUGUCAAACAGC
rnacentral:lncRNA from 1 species